rnacentral:rRNA from 1 species
AGUCACUGACAUUAGAUACCCCGGUAGUCCCAGCCGUAAACUAUGCGCGUUAGGUGUACUGGUGACCACGAGUCACCGGGGUGCCGAAGGGAAACCGUGAAGCGAGCCACCUGGGAAGUACGGCCGCAAGGCUGAAACUUAAAGGAAUUGGCGGGGAGCACCACAACAGGUGGAGCCUGCGGUUUAAUUGGAUUCAACGCCGGACAUCUCACCGGAUAAGACAGCUGAAUGAUUGUCAAUCUGAAGGUUUUACAUGACUAGCUG